rnacentral:lncRNA from 1 species
UUCACCAUUUGAAGGAUGAACACAUCUGAUGGGUGGUGGCAGAUCAGACAUAUAGCAGAAGUAAUAUAGUAGAAACGUUUUGUUCCUAUCUUAGUUUAACAGAUGUAUCAUCUGAGAAUUGUUCAAUUUUUGUACAGCCUCAAUCAUCAAUUUGUUUGUUGAUUUAGAUUUUAUCUGGUGUCUAGGAGUUGGUACCUUGGGAGAAUACAAGGUAUAACUAUGAUAAAAGGGGAGAUUUUUUGCAUUUAGAUUGCAUAUUAAGAAUAUCAUGUAUCAUAUGUAUUUCUUUUAUAUGGG